rnacentral:rRNA from 1 species
GUCCACGCCGUAAACGAUGGGUGCUAGGUGUGGGGGGUGUCGACUCCCCCUGUGCCGAAGCUAACGCAUUAAGCACCCCGCCUGGGGAGUACGGCCGCAAGGCUAAAACUCAAAGGAAUUGACGGGGGCCCGCACAAGCAGCGGAGCAUGUGGUUUAAUUCGACGCAACGCGAAGAACCUUACCAAGGCUUGAAAUGCUCGGGAAAGCCGGAGAAAUUCGGCCCUCCUUCGGGACUCGAGUACAGGUGGUGCAUGGCUGUCGU